UGGAGGUGCCCUCGGGGGCUGCUGGGUGAUCGCUGCCCGCCUGCGCCGGCAGCCGUAAGGCGUUAGGGUCGGAAUUCGCCCCUUCGUUAGUGAAAAGUGAAAAGCGGGGCGGCCCUUCGUUACGUUUAGUUGUUGAUUACCUAUUCUCACGCCGACACACAGAGCGACGGGAGAGAGGUAUUCUGACAUGAGGUUAGAGCGUCUGUGAAGAAGUCAGUGGCCCUUUUACUUCGUCAUAGGAUUGUGUGCUUCGUGAAUCACCAGAUGAACGCUUUAACCGUUGAGGCUUGCAUUUGUUGCUAGACAGUGAGAGCAGAAUAAAAGAAGCUUUAUGGAAAUGCAUAUUUUUAAAAAUCUUUAGCCUGAGAUGCGCCUUCCUCUAUGGGAAUGCUGCUGUCAUUGAGCAGUAGUUGUCCUGGAAGAGCAGGAAUUGUAAGCAAAAGAGAGAAGUAGGCUUAUCUGAGAGCAGCGAUUAGAAGGUGGCUGUAUUCAUGUAAGAGGCAAUCGCUCUGCCUUGUGAUGGCUCAUCUAAUGAUAUCCCGAGUCAGGUGUUAGAUUACUGAGCAGUGAAAUUCUUGUAUCUUUACUAGCUGUUAGUACACCGUGGUUAUUGGGUGCAAUAAGUAUACUUUAAUUGCUUUCAUCUGAAGCGAAGCCAAGUUUAGUGAUCUAUCCACAGUCUGCAGCCUUUGUUUGUUUCAUCUGCAGGUGUGCAGUAAUAAACAUCUUCGUUGAAAAAUGGAAUGUAUUUGAAAUGUAUGAAGCAGAAACUUUCAGUGGUGUCCAAUAUGUUGUGCAGAAGCAUUAAGCCCGCCAUGGAAGCACCAUUGGAACUAGAAGAGUAUUUGGUACACACAAGUGGAUUUUCCUGAAAGCUGUGAUGGCAUAUGAACAGGUUUUAAUAAUGGAAAAGUUGAGCAUUGUGGUGAAAGAUAUUCUGCAACUAUUCUGCAAGAGAUAGAGGGAUGCUUGAAGGUUGCUUCUUGAAGCAGGAAAACGGUCACAACUGUACGAACAAAUGCUUCUAAUUUGUUCAGUGAGUUGGAACGUUUUUGUCAGUGCUGCUUGACAAAUGUGGAUCUGUAACUGGAAGAAAGUGUAACACCUGGAGAGAUGUUCUCGCUUGGAUUGGGACCAUGCUUUUAAAAUCCUGCUGAAACAGUUGUUGAAAUUGUUUAGCAGACACUGUUAUAAAAAACUGCACGUGAACCAAAAUUACUGUCUCUGCAUAUUUAAAAUAACACUUUUUCCAAAACAUCAAACUGCCCUCUUUGGGAAGGAUAAACGUAGCAGUAGGGAAAUAAGUGGUGAGCUUCCAUAUAUGAAAAAGAAACAAAUUAUUGGCUCUUAUGAAAUGUAAAGGUAUGCAGACUUUUUGAUACUGAGCACCUGUAAUUCAAAGCAAUGGAAGUUGCAAGUAGACUGUGCAGCAUUGAUACAUAAAUUCAAAUUGCUGAGUGCUUCUUGAAGAUGUCAUGUAGGAGACGGAAGGAAGUAGAUAAGGUGGUGUGGAAGCAUCAGCAUGAACCACUUGUAAAAAGAAACACUUGAAAUUUCAGGUGGUGUGAGGGAAGUUGUGGUUACAGAAAAACCAUGGACUAAAGCUUUCAUUUUCUUCUGCUUCUAGUCGGGGUGAGAAGGAAAGGGGAGUUUUCAUGAGCUGCCAAUUUAGCAUGAAAAAACCAGUAUUGGAACUGGAACUGUGCCCACCGAAGAAGACAUUGGCAGUGUUAUCUGUUCCCAGCGUGGGAGUAUAAGCAUUGGAACAUUUGCUUGCAGCAGUCACUAACCACACAGUAACAUGUUAACAUUGUAUUUGUUGUAUUAAGCAGAUCAUCUCUUUUCCACCAAGGAAGAAAGGGACUGUAAGUUGAUUAACUGAGUAAGUUGCCUUUAAAGACAAAUUAUGCACAGAAGAUGCAAUCUACCUUAAGGUGUGGCUCUUGUACUGCAUUCUCAGGAAUGCAUUAUAAAGGAGGGAAUGUGACAACUGCGUGGUAGCCAAUGAUCAGAAGUGCUGUGGUUACUGAAUGAUUUUUGGAAUGUACCAAAAUACAGAAACAAUCAUGUAGUUUGCAGCCAAAAAUGACAGCAUUGGAGGCUAGCAGUUUACUUCCUUCAGGAAAUCUAAAAGAACUUCAUGAAAUACACUUAUUUCUAAACACCAAAUACCUGGAAGGUCCAUUUUUCUAUCAGUGCACUAUUAUAGUAGUGCAGAACAUGAAGUAGCAGCAUCUGAAGCGUUGGGAAGAUCAGAAAUAAGUUUGACUACAAAAAUGUACAUUAAUGGUGUGACUGAAGUCCAGGAGUGGCUUGGCUUACUGCAUAACCUGCUUUGGUUAUUCAGUAAGUAAUAACCAGCUGCUUUGCCUGGUUGGAGACUGCUUCUCAGUGAGGUAGCUAUGUAAAUUGGUCUAUUGAGUGUAUCAUCAGAAGCUGCAGAAUUUUACUACAAAAAAACAUCUCUUGAUGGCUUUCGUCAGGAUUCAUUAUCUAUUAAUGUUGCUGAGAAGGGUAGGUAUUUCUGUACUGUUUUGUAUAUGCUCUUGAAUAAAGAUGAGGAUGUGGAAAACUUAA